rnacentral:rRNA from 1 species
UACGGAGGGGGCAAGCGUUGUUCGGAAUUACUGGGCGUAAAGGGCGCGUAGGCGGCCCGCUAAGUCGAACGUGAAAUCCCCGGGCUCAACCCGGGAACUGCGUCCGAUACUGGUGGGCUUGAAUCCGGGAGAGGGAUGCGGAAUUCCAGGUGUAGCGGUGAAAUGCGUAGAUAUCUGGAGGAACACCGGUGGCGAAGGCGGCAUCCUGGACCGGUAUUGACGCUGAGGCGCGAAAGCCAGGGGAGCAAACGGG